rnacentral:ncRNA from 4 species
UAUUGCACUCGUCCCGGCCUAU